rnacentral:tRNA from 13 species
GUCCAUGUGGCCUAAUGGAUAAGGCGUCUGACUUCGAAUCAGAAGAUUACAGGCUCGAGUCCUGUCAUGGACG